GGAGUUUAAUAUAGACUUGAACUUGCUCUUCCCAAUACCCAGUCUGCCCCCAAAUUUCAUUGAUCUAUUCAGAGGCUAUGUGAGAAACGUGUCCUUUCCCCAAAAUAUUACUGUGUCUUUAACUCUAGAAGACUUGAACUUCACUACAUGGUGCUAUCCAAACUCCACUGGAGGACUGCAGUGUCAAUGUGAGGACCAGUUUGCCUGGUCAUGUGACAAGUGUGGCCUAUACGGUGCAUGCAGUAAUGUCACCUCCCACACCUGUGAAUGCAUCCAAGCGCUUCCUCCUGGUGGAGAAUUCUGUGAACCAAUCACAAAUAUUUCUCCAUGUCCAACAACAACUCCUGUUAUAACACCAUCAACACCAGAAACUACAGCAACAAAUGAGCCAGUGGAGUUUAAUAUAGACUUGAACUUGCUCUUCCCAAUACCCAGUCUGCCCCCAAAUUUCAUUGAUCUAUUCAGAGGCUAUGUGAGAAACGUGUCCUUUCCCCAAAAUAUUACUGUGUCUUUAAUACUAGAAGACUUGAACUUCACCACAUGGUGCUAUCCAAACUCCACUGGAGGACCGCAGUGUCAAUGUGAGGACCAGUUUGCCUGGUCAUGUGACAAGUGUGGCCUAUACGGUGCAUGCAGUAAUGUCACCUCCCAAACCUGUGAAUGCAUCCAAGCGCUUCCUCCUGGUGGAGAGUUCUGCGAACCAAUCACAAAUAUUUCUCCAUGUCCAACAACAACUCCUGCUUAUCACACAUUUGAUUUCCAUGUGUGACGACUGCAAGUGUCCAGAGUGAGGACAGACUGAGGGACCCACUGCUGCACAUCAUCUGUGAGGCUUUGCACCCCUGAUGAUCCACCAGGACACACUCAGCAGUGUGUGAGGAAGAGGAGGAGGAAGAGCCAGCAGCAGCUGACAGAUGGGGAGAAUAGACAGACUGUUCCUGUUUGUGAAGGACUGCUAGAAACAUUUAAAAUAACUAAUUGUCUGUCCUGAAUCAGUCUUAUUAGGUAAUGUUCAGAUAAUUUGAUCAUUCCAGUGUUUUCAGUGUG
ensembl:lncRNA